rnacentral:ncRNA from 1 species
ACUAAAUAGAAAAAUUCAGGUGCCUUUUAAGUAAGGUGAAAAGGGAAUGCGGUUAUAUUCCGCAGCAGCCCCCGCUACUGUAAUUGAGGACGGACUCCUAAUAGGCCACUCUAUAUAUGAGGAAGGUUAGGAGAAAGGAUGAAUCAUAAGCCAGGAGACCUGCCUGUUAUUGUUUCUUAAU